GCUGCUGGGGUGGCAGCAGGAAUAGCCACACUGAGAACAAAACAGAAAGAAAAGCUGUUUUCCAAACCUACCAGUAUGAGUGUUGUGGUUCCUAUCACCCACCCCUUCUCUCAUGGAUGAAUCUAUAUUUUCUACACUGAAAGAAAGAGAAAACUUCAGACUGGGAAUUGUAUUGGUAUAGACCUCUUUCUGCAGCAGGGUAGCCUGCGUGGGGAGAAGAAGGUUUUCAAAACAGCAGGACCCGAACAAUCUCCUACUGCUCAGAGGAGAAAUCAUUUCCAAGCUUCUGUCCUUCUGGCUGCUUUCAUUGUAAUAAUAAUUUACAUCCUGUGCAAGGAGACUGUUUGCAUUCAGAAGAAAUCUAAAAUAAUAAAU